CCUACGGGAGGCAGCAGUGGGGAAUUUUGGACAAUGGGCGCAAGCCUGAUCCAGCCAUUCCGCGUGCAGGAUGAAGGCCUUCGGGUUGUAAACUGCUUUUGUACAGAACGAAAAGCUCUGGGUUAAUACCCUGGGGUCAUGACGGUACUGUAAGAAUAAGCACCGGCUAACUACGUGCCAGCAGCCGCGGUAAUACGUAGGGUGCAAGCGUUAAUCGGAAUUACUGGGCGUAAAGCGUGCGCAGGCGGUUUUGUAAGACAGAGGUGAAAUCCCCGGGCUCAACCUGGGAACUGCCUUUGUGACUGCAAAGCUGGAGUGCGGCAGAGGGGGAUGGAAUUCCGCGUGUAGCAGUGAAAUGCGUAGAUAUGCGGAGGAACACCGAUGGCGAAGGCAAUCCCCUGGGCCUGCACUGACGCUCAUGCACGAAAGCGUGGGGAGCAAACAGGAUUAGAUACCCUGGUAGUCCACGCCCUAAACGAUGUCAACUGGUUGUUGGGUCUUCACUGACUCAGUAACGAAGCUAACGCGUGAAGUUGACCGCCUGGGGAGUACGGCCGCAAGAUUAAAACUCAAAGGAAUUGACGG
rnacentral:rRNA from 1 species